UACAGAGGUGGCAAGCGUUGUUCGGAAUUACUGGGCGUAAAGGGCGCGUAGGCGGCCUUCUAAGUCAGACGUGAAAUCCCCCGGCUUAACCUGGGAACUGCGUCUGAUACUGGGAGGCUUGAGUAUGGGAGAGGGAUGUAGAAUUCCGGGUGUAGUGGUGGAAUGCGUAGAGAUCCGGAGGAACACCAGCGGCGAAGGCGGCAUCCUGGACUGGUCCUGACACUCAGGAGCGAAAGCGUGGGGAGCGAUCAGG
rnacentral:rRNA from 1 species